AGUAACUGCGAGUGAAGUGGCAGAAGCUCAAAAUUGAAAUCCGGUACCUCUGGUGCCUGAGUUGUAAUUUGGAGAGACAAAUUUGGUUGACGGUGCCGGCCKAGGUUCCUUUGAACAGGACAACACAGAGGGUGAGAAUCCCGUGCCUGGCUGGAUGACCGUCGCGUUUCUAAAUUGUCUUCGACGAGUCGAGUUGUUUGGGAAUGCAGCUCAAAAUGGGUGGUAAAUGUCAUCUAAAGCUAAAUAUUGGCGAGAGACCGAUAGCGCACAAGUAGAGUGAUCGAAAGAUGAAAAGCACUUUGAAAAGAGAGUCAAAAAGUACGUGAAAUUGCUGAAAGGGAAGCGCUUGAGACCAGACUCGAACCGUGGUGAUCAGCCGUGCUUCUGUGCRGUGUCUCUUGCCACGGUUUGGGCCAGCAUCNGUUCCGGCGGUCGGAUAAAAGGUGGAGGAAUGUAKCUUCCCUCGGGGAGUGUUAUUAGCCCCCACCACAAUGCGGCCAGCUGGGACCGAGGACCNC
rnacentral:rRNA from 1 species